UACGUAGGCAGCGAGCGUUGUUCGGAAUUACUGGGCGUAAAGAGUGUGUAGGCGGUGUUCCCAGUCUGUUGUGAAAUCUCCCGGCUUAACUGGGAGGGUGCAGCGGAAACUAGAAUGCUAGAGGGUGGGAGAGGUAAGCGGAAUUCCUGGUGUAGCGGUGAAAUGCGUAGAUAUCAGGAGGAACACCUGUGGUGUAGACAGCUUACUGGACCACAACUGACGCUGAGACACGAAAGCGUGGGUAGCAAACAGG
rnacentral:rRNA from 1 species